rnacentral:rRNA from 1 species
AGAUUGAACGCUGGCGGCAUGCCUUACACAUGCAAGUCGAACGGUAACAGGUUAAGCUGACGAGUGGCGAACGGGUGAGUAAUAUAUCGGAACGUGCCCAGUCGUGGGGGAUAACUGCUCGAAAGAGCAGCUAAUACCGCAUACGACCUGAGGGUGAAAGCGGGGGAUCGCAAGACCUCGCGCGAUUGGAGCGGCCGAUAUCAGAUUAGGUAGUUGGUGGGGUAAAGGCCCACCAAGCCAACGAUCUGUAGCUGGUCUGAGAGGACGACCAGCCACACUGGGACUGAGACACGGCCCAGACUCCUACGGGAGGCAGCAGUGGGGAAUUUUGGACAAUGGGCGCAAGCCUGAUCCAGCCAUGCCGCGUGCGGGAGAAGGCCUCGGUUGUAAACCGCUUUGUCGAGGAAGAAAGGUUCUAGGUUAAUACCGUGGACUACAUGACGGUUACCUAGAAGAAUAAGACACCGGCUAACGUACGU